UUUUUCAAUGUGGUUCUUGGUUUAAGUAUCUGAACUCCGAUAUGUGAUCGAUCGUUACAAUAAAGGUUAGACAAAAUCAUCGAGUUAUUAUUAGCAACGACGUGGAGUGAAUUUCUGAUACGUUAGAAGCAGCGAUCGCUGUCGUAAAAAAAUGUUGAAAAAUGAUACAUGCGGUUCGAACUAUCGGUCAAGUCAUGAUAAACGAUAUUCUCCGGACAAUAACGUGAAUUUCAUAUCGGACAAUUGCCAUGUGAGAAAAACUAAUUAAACUGCUUCCAUAUCGUUUAAUAAAUACAUCUAUUAAACCUAUCAGCCAAUUAAAACCGAUUGAUCGCAAUCAUUUAAUUGGAUAUACGAUCGUACGUGGGUAACUCUACAUACGUAGACAUAACAAGGGCCAUCGCUCAUUUCAUGCACACAGAUAAUAAUGAUAAUUGACACGCUGGAACAAUAAAUGAAAUAAAAUAAUAAGUACUAAAACUGA